GACGAACGCUGGCGGCGUGCUUAACACAUGCAAGUCGAACGAAGAGCGAUGGAAGCUUGCUUCUAUCAAUCUUAGUGGCGAACGGGUGAGUAACGCGUAAUCAACCUGCCCUUCAGAGGGGGACAACAGUUGGAAACGACUGCUAAUACCGCAUACGAUCUAAUCUCGGCAUCGAGGAAAGAUGAAAGGUGGCCUCUAUUUAUAAGCUAUCACUGAAGGAGGGGAUUGCGUCUGAUUAGCUAGUUGGAGGGGUAACGGCCCACCAAGGCGAUGAUCAGUAGCCGGUCUGAGAGGAUGAACGGCCACAUUGGGACUGAGACACGGCCCAGACUCCUACGGGAGGCAGCAGUGGGGAAUCUUCCGCAAUGGACGAAAGUCUGACGGAGCAACGCCGCGUGAGGGAUGACGGCCUUCGGGUUGUAAAGCUCUGUUAAUCGGGACGAAAGGCCUUCUUGCGAACAGUUAGAAGGAUUGACGGUACCGGAAUAGAAAGCCACGGCUAACUACGUG
rnacentral:rRNA from 1 species